rnacentral:rRNA from 1 species
AAACCGUUCAGGGGUAAACCUGAGAAACCCGAAAGUUCGAAAGGAGAGAUUCAUCGCGACACGUUCUCGUCGGCGCGCCUACGUCGUACGGACGUCGGUCGGAGUGUCUCGGAGAGUGCGUCCGCACGAGCGAUCGUUCGCGGUCGUCUCGUUGUCGGGCGUUCUUCACCCGUCUCUCCGGUCGGUGCCGUACUCGUACCGUCAAGACGUGCGUUCGCGUGCACUUCUCUCCCUGUAGGACGUCGCGACCCGCCGGGUGUCGGUCUACGAACGACGGCGGGGCAGCUCGCGGAGAUCGUGGGACGACCUGAGGAUUCGCGUCUUCUCGUUCGUCUCGCGUCUACGCGAACCCGCCUCUCGUCUCCGGCCGACUCACUCGCUCGGCGGUAGUCGAACAGUUGGGCACGGAGCAGCGACACGAUCGCGUCCGGCCCGUCGCAAGCUCGGUACGGUAGUUCGGCGUCCUCGGCGGCCUUUGCGUCGCCGUACCCGGAUCCGGACCACUGUUGGCGACGGCGUCCUCGGGCAGUCUUCGUGUCCCGUCUGCGACGAUCUAGUUUUGGGUACUUUCAGGGCCCGUCUUGAAACACGGACCAAGGAGUCUAGCAUGCACGCGAGUCUCAGGGACUGUAUCGCAAAAACGAACUAAUCCUAAAGGCGAAAUAAAAGUGAAGGUCGCGUCUUAGUGCGCGACCUGGGGAAGAUGAGAAGUCUAAUUUAAAACGACGACUCCGCAUUCCCGGGGCGUCUCGUUCGGUCUCCGUGCGACGUCAAAAAUCGCGCGGCGGAUCGGAGGCGCACUUCGAGCGUGCACGCU